rnacentral:rRNA from 1 species
GAUGAACGCUGGCGGCGUGCCUAAUACAUGCAAGUCGAGCGAACAGACGAGGAGCUUGCUCCUCUGACGUUAGCGGCGGACGGGUGAGUAACACGUGGAUAACCUACCUAUAUUACUGGGAUAACUUCGGGAAACCGGAGCUAAUACCGGAUAAUAUAUUGAACCGCAUGGUUCAAUAGUGAAAGACGGUUUUGCUGUCACUUAUAGCUGGAUCCGCGCCGCAUUAGCUAGUUGGUAAGGUAACGGCUUACCAAGGCAACGAUGCGUAGCCGACCUGAGAGGGUGAUCGGCCACACUGGAACUGAGACACGGUCCAGACUCCUACGGGAGGCAGCAGUAGGGAAUCUUCCGCAAUGGGCGAAAGCCUGACGGAGCAACGCCGCGUGAGUGAUGAAGGUCUUCGGAUCGUAAAACUCUGUUAUUAGGGAAGAACAAAUGUGUAAGUAACUAUGCACGUCUUGACGGUACCUAAUCAGAAAGCCACGGCUAACUACGUG